UGGAAGUAAAAGUCGUAACAAGGUCUCCGUUGGUGAACCAGCGGAGGGAUCAUUACCGAGUUUACAACUCCCAAACCCACUGUGAACUUAUACCCAAAACGUUGCCUCGGCGGGCACAGCGGUACCCGAGCCCCCGCAAGGGAGCAGAGGCGCCCGCCCGCCAGGGGACCAAAACUCUUCUGUAUACCCAUAGCGGCAUGUCUGAGUGGAUUUAAAAACAAAUGAAUCAAAACUUUCAACAACGGAUCUCUUGGUUCUGGCAUCGAUGAAGAACGCAGCGAAAUGCGAUACGUAAUGUGAAUUGCAGAAUUCAGUGAAUCAUCGAAUCUUUGAACGCACAUUGCGCCCGCCAGUAUUCUGGCGGGCAUGCCUGUUCGAGCGUCAUUUCAACCCUCAAGCCCUGCUUGGUGUUGGGGACCGGCUCAGCGGGUGCGGGCUUCGGCCCGCCCCGUGCCGCCCCCGAAAUGGAUCGGCGGUCUCGUCGCAGCCUUCUUUGCGUAGUAACAUACCACCUCGCAACAGGAGCGCGGCGCGGCCACUGCCGUAAAACGCCCAACUUUUUAGAGUUGACCUCGAAUCAGGUAGGAAUACCCGCUGAACUUAAACAUAUCAAUAAGCGGAGGA
rnacentral:misc_RNA from 1 species